rnacentral:rRNA from 1 species
UACGGGGGGGGGCAAGCGUUGUUCGGAAUUACUGGGCGUAAAGGGCGCGUAGGCGGCCUGUUAAGUCGAACGUGAAAUCCCCGGGCUCAACCCGGGAACUGCGUCCGAUACUGGCAGGCUUGAAUCCGGGAGAGGGAUGCGGAAUUCCAGGUGUAGCGGUGAAAUGCGUAGAUAUCUGGAGGAACACCGGUGGCGAAGGCGGCAUCCUGGACCGGCAUUGACGCUGAGGCGCGAAAGCCAGGGGAGCAAAGCGGG